GUUGAUGUUGAUGUUUAUUGUCAUGUUUAAACUAUUGCUUUGAAUGACUGCCCUGAGUUAACACCAUUCUAAAAGCUGCAUGUCUCCUUAAAGCCUCUUAUGACAGUGUUAGUAACCAUCUUUUGGCUGUUUCGUUCAAAAGUAUAUACUAUGUAACACCUUUUUGAUUGAUUUGCCUAAAAACAAAAGUUUAGUAAUUGUCAUUUUCCUUCUGCUGCAAACCUCACUAAUUUAACCACACACGCAUGGACCCCACACUAAUUACACAACAUUUUCAAAUAACCAUGUGCAUGUCACAUUUCUUCAUAAGAUAUAGACUGAUAUAUAUACAUUCAGCUUUCUUUUCUGAUAUAUGCGAUUAAAUUUAAGACAGUUCUUAUUUAAAAUCGAUAAAUUUGUAGUCUUUCGUUUCAUUUCUUUAUGCAGUAAUCAGCAUCCAGACCUUACGUAAGCAGCAGCGCAUUAGUUGGAUGUUUUGUUUGAUGAAAUGAAAAGAAGGGAAGAAAAAGGGUGUUGGAGUGUGAUGAGAGAAGAAAUAAAGAAGAAAAGUAAGAAUGGAAUAGAGUGCAGAGGGAAAGUUUCUUCGCAUAUAAGCAAAUUAAAUGAAGAGAUGAUGAAAGGCUGACAUGGUAAAACAUGUUUUCUUUUCUUGAAGAAAGAACAGAAGGGAAGAGAUUAAGAAAAGAAACAAAAAUGGUGCCAAGUGUCGCUGUAGGCAAAACCAGAAGGCAACCAAGACACCAAUAGCAUAGCAUUCAGAGAAUGGAAUUCGAGAGCCUUGCAUUGCAUGUCAUGUGAGU
rnacentral:lncRNA from 1 species